rnacentral:pre_miRNA from 1 species
GGUUACAACACAGGACAUGGGAGCUUACUUGGAACCCUCGUGUCUUGUGUUGCAGCCAG